AAUGUCGUAACAAGGUCUCCGUAGGUGAACCUGCGGAGGGAUCAUUACCGAGUGAGGAUUAUAGUACAUCCGACCUCCAACCCUUUGUGAACACAUCUUGUUGCUUCGGGGCGACCCUGCCGUUCGCGGCAUUUCCCCCCAGGAAGGUCAUCAAAAUCACUGCAUUCUUACGUCGGAGUAAAAAUGUUAAUUUAAUAAAAG
rnacentral:misc_RNA from 1 species